rnacentral:lncRNA from 1 species
GAAAACUUGAUAUUUGAAGAGUCUCAAAGCAAUAGUACAGUCGAUACAUAUGAUAUGUGUAGACUAGGUUGCUUACUCCAUGAUUUUGAGUAGUUUCACCUAGAUUUUUUUUAUCUUAUUUUUGUGGAAUUUUUACUGAGAUUACACAACUGAUGAGAACUUUAUUUCAUCAUAUUUGAACAUAUUAAAUAGUCCAUUGAGUUCUUUUUUUAAUGUUG